GACCAAAAUCCAUCACCACAGCUACAAAGAGCAUGUUAAAAUUAGUAAAAUAGCAAAGUUUGGCCGCGAAAUGUUGUAAAAUGCGAAAAAUAUAGUUCUGCGAAAUUUGCAAAUUUUGUAUUAAUUUGUAUUACGCACGGGAGAAUGCAUCACUUUCGACCCAAAUGGGGUGCAUUUUCCUGUGCGUAAUACAAAUUAAUACAAAAUUUGCAAAUUUCGCAGGGCUAUAUUUUCCGCAUUUUACAACAUUUCGCGGCCAAACUUUGCAAUUUCACUAAUUUUAACAUGCUCUUUGCUGUAGCUGUGGUGAUGGAUUUUGUUC